GGUCAUGGAGUCCUGUGGCAUCCACGAGACCACCUUUAACUCCAUCAUGAAGUGUGAUGUGGACAUCCACAGAAACCUGUAUGCC
ensembl:miRNA Gm22566 predicted gene, 22566